CGCUUCUAGACCGUUUGCAGCCAAGGGGUGACCCGGAUAGGUAAGCAGUGCAGGUGAUUGGUUGUGCCUGUUGGCCGGUGUAGUCGUCUGGGGGUAGGCAAAUCCGCUCCCAGGUUAAGAUGAGGCCGGUCGGGACCAGCGACGCAAGUCAAUGGGUAGCUGCCCAGUGCCUUUUCUGGCAAGAAAAGCCUCGUGGUGAGGUCUCUAGGCGCCCGUACCGUAAACCGACACAGGUAGGGUGGGAUAAAUGUCCCAAGGUGAUCGAGCGAACCCUCGUUAAGGAACUAGGCAAUCUCACCCCGUAACUUCGGGAUAAGGGGUGCCUCUUACCGUGUACCGACUUGCUCGGGAAGCGGCCGGGAGGUGGCACGAAAUCGGCCCAAGCGACUGUUUAACAAAAACACAGGUCUCUGCCAACCCGUAAGGGGAUGUAUAGGGGCCGACACCUGCCCAGUGCCGGAAGGUUAAGAGGAGGGGUUCACGCUCUGAAUCGAAGCCCCGGUGAACGGCGGCCGUAACUAUAACGGUCCUAAGGUAGCGAAAUUCCUUGUCGGGUAAGUUCCGACCCGCACGAAAGGUGUAACGACUUGGGCGCUGUCUCAACGAGGGGGGCGAAAUUGCAAUACCCGUGAAGAUGCGGGUUCCCCGCGCCAGGACAAAAAGACCCCGUGGAGCUUUACUGUAGCUUGGCCUUGUGUUGUUGCUCCGUCUGCGUAGGAUAGGUGGGAGCCUAUGAAACCGGGCUUUUGGGUUCGGUGGAGGCAACGGUGAAAUACCACUCUGACGGUGUGAUGGCACUCACUUCCGCCCCGCACGGGGGGAAGGACAGGGCCUGGUGGGCAGUUUAACUGGGGCGGUUGCCUCCCAAAUGGUAACGGAGGCGUUCAAAGGUCCUCUCAGGGUGGAUGGAAAUCACCCGAGGAGUGCAUGGGCACAAGAGGGCUUGACUGCGAGACCAACAAGUCGAGCAGGGCCGAAAGGCGGACCAAGUGAUCCUACGGCACUGUGUGGAAGGGCCGUGGCUUAUCGGACAAAAGCUACCCCGGGGAUAACAGGCUGAUCUUCCCCAAGAGUUCACAUCGACGGGAAGGUUUGGCACCUCGAUGUCGGCUCGUCGCAUCCUGGGGCUGGAGCAGGUCCCAAGGGUCCGGCUGUUCGCCGGUUAAAGCGGUACGCGAGCUGGGUUCAGAACGUCGUGAGACAGUUCGGUCUCUAUCCGGCGCGGGCGUAGGAGGUUUGCCGGGAGCUCUCCUUAGUACGAGAGGACCGGGAGGGACGCACCGCUGGUGUGCCAGUUGUUCUGCCAAGGGCAUCGCUGGGUAGCCAAGUGCGGACGCGAGAAGCGCUGAAAGCAUCUAAGCGCGAAACGCACCCCAAGAUGAGACCUCCCACCCAGAAAAUGGGGUAAGACCGCAGGAAGAACACCUGCUUGAUAGGCCGAAGGUGUAAGCGCUGCAAGGCGUUCAGCUUAUCGGUACUAAUGGUCGAGGCCUUGCCCC
rnacentral:rRNA from 1 species